AUUGAACGCUGGCGGCAUGCCUUACACAUGCAAGUCGAACGGCAGCACGGUUGCUUGCACCUGUUGGCGAGUGGCGAACGGGUGAGUAAUACAUCGGUACAUGUGCUUUGGCUGGGGAUUGCCUUGCGAAAGCCGGAUUAAUACCGCAUACGAUCUACGGGUGACAGCGGGGGGCCUGCGGGCCUCGCGCGAUAGGGUUGGCCGAUGGGGGAUUUGCUAGUUGGUGGGGUAAAGGCCUACCCCGGCGACGAUCAGUAGCUGGUCUGAGAGAACGACCAGCGACACUAGAGCUGGACCAGGGACAAGGGUACUACGAGACGCAGCAGUCGGGAAUGUUGGACAAUGGUCGAGAGCCUGGUCCAGCGAUGCCGCGUGUGAGACAGCGACCUUCGGGUUGUAAAGCACUUUUGUCCGGAAAGAAAUCCUUGGCCCUAAUACGGUCGGGGGAUGACGGUACCGGAUAAAUAAGCACCGGCUAACUACGUG
rnacentral:rRNA from 1 species